GUGCCCACUUCGGCAGCACAUACACUAAAAUUGGAAUGACACAGAGAGGAUCAGCAUGACCCCUGUGCAAAGAUGGCAUGCAAAUUUGUGAAGCGUCCCAUAUUUUU
ensembl:snRNA U6 U6 spliceosomal RNA